UGCAGUCGAGCGAAUGGAUUAAGAGCUUGCUCUUAUGAAGUUAGCGGCGGACGGGUGAGUAACACGUGGGUAACCUACCCAUAAGACUGGGAUAACUCCGGGAAACCGGGGCUAAUACCGGAUAAUAUUUUGAACUGCAUAGUUCGAAAUUGAAAGGCGGCUUCGGCUGUCACUUAUGGAUGGACCCGCGUCGCAUUAGCUAGUUGGUGAGGUAACGGCUCACCAAGGCGACGAUGCGUAGCCGACCUGAGAGGGUGAUCGGCCACACUGGGACUGAGACACGGCCCAGACUCCUACGGGAGGCAGCAGUAGGGAAUCUUCCGCAAUGGACGAAAGUCUGACGGAGCAACGCCGCGUGAG
rnacentral:rRNA from 1 species